rnacentral:rRNA from 1 species
UGGGGAAUCUUGCACAAUGGGCGAAAGCCUGAUGCAGCAAUGCCGCGUGAGUGAUGAAGGCCUUCGGGUUGUAAAUCUCUGUCGGCUGGGACAAACGGGUUCACAUUUAAUAAAUGUGAGCAGUGAUGGUACCAGCAAAGGAAGAGGCGGCUAAUUCUGUGCCAGCAGCCGCGGUAAUACAGAAGCCUCGAGCGUUGUUCGGAAUUACUGGGCGUAAAGGGAGUGUAGGUGGUGACGUAAGUCAGAUGUGAAAGCCCUGGGCUUAACCCGGGAAGUGCAUUUGAUACUGCGUUGCUAGAGUGCGAGAGAGGAAAGCGGAAUUCCCAGUGUAGGGGUGAAAUCCGUAGAUAUUGGGAGGAAUACCAAUGGCGUAGGCAGCUUUCUGGCUCGUAACUGACACUGAGACUCGAAAGCGUGGGUAGCAAACA